rnacentral:rRNA from 1 species
UUCGGUCCUCCGAUCAAGCAAGAGGACCCGCUGAAUUUAAGCAUAUAACUAACCGGAAGAAAAGAAACUAACCAGGAUUCCCCCAGUACCGGCGAGUGAAGCGGGAAGAGCUCACGUUGUAAAUCUGGCCUUCGGGCCCGAAUUGUAGUCUGGAGAGGCGAGGCCAGCCGUCGGCGGGGGCGAAGUCUCUUGGAAAAGAGCAUCAAGGAGGGUGACAAUCCCGUUCUUGCCCCCUGAUUUCGGCGCGCGUACGGUCCGUUUUCUACGAGUCGAGUUGCUUGGGAUUGCAGCUCAAAGCGGGUGGUAAAUUCCAUCUAAAGCUAAACACGGGUGGGAGACCGAUAGCGAACAAGUACCGUGAGGGAAAGAUGCAAAGAACUUUGAAAAGAGAGUUAAAGAGUGCCUGAAAUUGCUGAAAGGGAAGCGAAGGAAACCAGUGUCUGUCAGAUCAGCUUUCCCCUCCGCCUUCGGGGCGUUGGCUUGCGUUUUUGUCGUGGCCAGGGCCGGGUAGUGUUGCGGGAGUCUGCGCCUCGGAAGGUAGCCUAUCCUCGGAUGGUGAAUACCGUGGCGUUUCGUCGCGACGCUGGCCGGUUCUGACGAAAUGGUUUUCUUU